CCUACGGGAGGCAGCAGUGGGGAAUAUUGGACAAUGGGCGAAAGCCUGAUCCAGCCAUGCCGCGUGAGUGAUGAAGGCCUUAGGGAUGUAAAGCUCUUUUGCCCGGGAAGAUUAUGACGGUACCGGGAGAAUAAGCCCCGGCUAACUUCGUGCCAGCAGCCGCGGUAAU
rnacentral:rRNA from 1 species